rnacentral:rRNA from 1 species
GACGAACGCUGGCGGCGUGCUUAACACAUGCAAGUCGAACGGUAAGGCCCUUCGGGGUACACGAGUGGCGAACGGGUGAGUAACACGUGGGUGAUCUGCCCUGCACUUCGGGAUAAGCCUGGGAAACUGGGUCUAAUACCGGAUAGGACCACUGCCUGCAUGGGGGGUGGUGGAAAGCUUUUGCGGUGUGGGAUGGGCCCGCGGCCUAUCCGCUUGGUGGUGGGGUGAUGGCCUGCCAAGGCGACGACGGGUAGCCGGCCUGAGAGGGUGACCGGCCACACUGGGACUGAGAUACGGCCCAGACUCCUACGGGAGGCAGCAGUGGGGAAUAUUGCACAAUGGGAGCAAGCCUGAUGCAGCGACGCCGCGUGAGGGAUGACGGCCUUCGGGUUGUAAACCUCUUUCAGCACCGACGAAGCGCAAGUGACGGUAGGUGCAGAAGAAGGACCGGCCAACUACGUGCCAGCAGCCGCCGUAA